rnacentral:rRNA from 1 species
UAAAUGCAACCCUAUGCGGUGGAUCACUUGGCUCGCGAGUCGAUGAAGAGCGCAGCAAACUGCGUGAAUUAAUGUGAUUUGCAGGACACAUUGAUCAUCGAUAUCUUGAACGCAUAUUGCGGUUAUGGAUCGCUUCCAUGACCACGCCUGUCUGAGGGUCGGUAUU